rnacentral:rRNA from 1 species
GAUGAACGCUGGCGGCGUGCCUAAUACAUGCAAGUCGAGCGAACGGACGAGAAGCUUGCUUCUCUGAUGUUAGCGGCGGACGGGUGAGUAACACGUGGAUAACCUACCUAUAAGACUGGGAUAACUUCGGGAAACCGGAGCUAAUACCGGAUAAUAUUUUGAACCGCAUGGUUCAAAAGUGAAAGACGGUCUUGCUGUCACUUAUAGAUGGAUCCGCGCUGCAUUAGCUAGUUGGUAAGGUAACGGCUUACCAAGGCAACGAUGCAUAGCCGACCUGAGAGGGUGAUCGGCCACACUGGAACUGAGACACGGUCCAGACUCCUACGGGAGGCAGCAGUAGGGAAUCUUCCGCAAUGGGCGAAAGCCUGACGGAGCAACGCCGCGUGAGUGAUGAAGGUCUUCGGAUCGUAAAACUCUGUUAUUAGGGAAGAACAUAUGUGUAAGUAACUGUGCACAUCUUGACGGUACCUAAUCAGAAAGCCACGGCUAACUACGUGCCAGCAGCCGCGGUAAUACGUAGGUGGCAAGCGUUAUCCGGAAUUAUUGGGCGUAAAGCGCGCGUAGGCGGUUUUUUAAGUCUGAUGUGAAAGCCCACGGCUCAACCGUGGAGGGUCAUUGGAAACUGGAAAACUUGAGUGCAGAAGAGGAAAGUGGAAUUCCAUGUGUAGCGGUGAAAUGCGCAGAGAUAUGGAGGAAUACCAGUGGCGAAGGCGACUUUCUGGUCUGUAACUGACGCUGAUGUGCGAAAGCGUGGGGAUCAAACAGGAUUAGAUACCCUGGUAGUCCACGCCGUAAACGAUGAGUGCUAAGUGUUAGGGGGUUUCCGCCCCUUAGUGCUGCAGCUAACGCAUUAAGCACUCCGCCUGGGGAGUACGACCGCAAGGUUGAAACUCAAAGGAAUUGACGGGGACCCGCACAAGCGGUGGAGCAUGUGGUUUAAUUCGAAGCAACGCGAAGAACCUUACCAAAUCUUGACAUCCUUUGACAACUCUAGAGAUAGAGCUUUCCCCUUCGGGGGACAAAGUGACAGGUGGUGCAUGGUUGUCGUCAGCUCGUGUCGUGAGAUGUUGGGUUAAGUCCCGCAACGAGCGCAACCCUUAAGCUUAGUUGCCAUCAUUAAGUUGGGCACUCUAAGUUGACUGCCGGUGACGAACCGGAGGAAGGUGGGGAUGACGUCAAAUCAUCAUGCCCCUUAUGAUUUGGGCUACACACGUGCUACAAUGGACAAUACAAAGGGCAGCGAAACCGCGAGGUCAAGCAAAUCCCAUAAAGUUGUUCUCAGUUCGGAUUGUAGUCUGCAACUCGACUACAUGAAGCUGGAAUCGCUAGUAAUCGUAGAUCAGCAUGCUACGGUGAAUACGUUCCCGGGUCU